rnacentral:rRNA from 1 species
AGUCGAACGGUAGCACAGAGAGCUUGCUCUCGGGUGACGAGUGGCGGACGGGUGAGUAAUGUCUGGGAAACUGCCCGAUGGAGGGGGAUAACUACUGGAAACGGUAGCUAAUACCGCAUAACGUCGCAAGACCAAAGAGGGGGACCUUCGGGCCUCUUGCCAUCGGAUGUGCCCAGAUGGGAUUAGCUUGUAGGUGAGGUAACGGCUCACCUAGGCGACGAUCCCUAGCUGGUCUGAGAGGAUGACCAGCCACACUGGAACUGAGACACGGUCCAGACUCCUACGGGAGGCAGCAGUGGGGAAUAUUGCACAAUGGGCGCAAGCCUGAUGCAGCCAUGCCGCGUGUAUGAAGAAGGCCUUCGGGUUGUAAAGUACUUUCAGCGGGGAGGAAGGGAGUGAGGUUAAUAACCUUAUUCAUUGACGUUACCCGCAGAAGAAGCACCGGCUAACUCCGUGCCAGCAGCCGCGGUAAUACGGAGGGUGCAAGCGUUAAUCGGAAUUACUGGGCGUAAAGCGCACGCAGGCGGUCUGUCAAGUCGGAUGUGAAAUCCCCGGGCUCAACCUGGGAACUGCAUUCGAAACUGGCAGGCUGGAGUCUUGUAGAGGGGGGUAGAAUUCCAGGUGUAGCGGUGAAAUGCGUAGAGAUCUGGAGGAAUACCGGUGGCGAAGGCGGCCCCCUGGACAAAGAC